UACGGGGGGGGGCAAGCGUUGUUCGGAAUUACUGGGCGUAAAGGGCUCGUAGGCGGCCAACUAAGUCGGACGUGAAAUCCCCAGGCUCAACCUGGGAACUGCGUCCGAUACUGGAUGGCUUGAAUCCGGGAGAGGGAUGCAGAAUUCCAGGUGUAGCGGUGAAAUGCGUAGAUAUCUGGAGGAAUACCGGUGGCGAAGGCGGCAUCCUGGACCGGUACUGACGCUGAGACGCGAAAGCGUGGGGGAGCGAACAGG
rnacentral:rRNA from 1 species